ensembl:lncRNA
GUGAAGUCUCUGAAGACGAGGCAUCCCCUUCAGGCUGGGAGUGUAAUGCACAAGGACUCUGAGGUUUUGGAGGGUUUAUCCUGACGUCUCUGCCGUAGAGGACAUUAUUUUAGAUUUAUGAAUUAUUCUAUUUAUGGGACAUUUUCCUUCAUUUAGUUAUGUUUAUGCAUCCUUUGCCUUUCUCUUCCUCCUCUUUUCAUAUCAUGUUUAACUCUUUCAGGUGUGACUGAAUGUAUUACAGAUCUGAAGUUUGUACAUUUCUAUCUAAUUCUAACCCGUUUUUUUCUUUUCUUUUAAAAAUUUUUUUUUUAAAUAAUCCUCAUCUCCUUAAUUGUCCAUAUCUUUGAGCAUUUGUUCCACAAACUGUAUGAAACAUUAUUAUUGUUAUUAUUAUUAUAUUUCUCCCCCUCUGUCUCUCUCCUCUUUCUCUUGUAUGAUACCAAAACAUGUGAUAAGCCAUAAACGGUAGCAACGACGAGGGCUACUUUCGGAUGCAUCUUUCAUCAGUCGCCUUUUGCAUAUGUUGAAUCUUUCCAUUCCUUUUCUCCUGCACAUGAGACACGCAUGAAGGACGUGUGCUUAGAUGUGUGUGUGUGUGUGUGUGUGUGUGUGUGUGUGUGUGUGUGUGUGUGUGUGUGUGUGUAAAAGUGUGUGCGCGCGCUUCUUCACCGCUGGACCAACCUCACUGUGGCCUAAGCUCCAAUUGCAGUGUCCGAAAAUGGCGUGAUUUGAUCCUCCGGCUAAACUCCACAUCUGAUUAAGCCUUACUUCCUCCCUCUGUUUUAAAAAUUUUUUUUUUAUUAUUUAUUCUGCUUCUCCUCCUUGUGUGAUCACGGCCUUUUAACCUUCUCAAGAGUCAUAUCAAAUAUAAAGGCUGGACUGUAUUAUUAUAACUUUGCUGGGUAAAACUUUUGACUCCCUAAACAGUUUGUACCAUACCGUUCUUUUGUCUUUUUUGGUUGUUUUCAGUCUCUUAUGCACAAUUCCAAUCAUGUGGUGUUCUCUCCAUUGUUUAAAACAUCUCCGAUCUUAUAACAGAAAUGCUGUACAGUCUGAGUACUUAUGAACUAUUUUUUAUCACAGUAUUAUUUAUUGCUUCCUUUCAAUAAAAAAUACUGAUCCCUAUUUUCC